CCAGACAGCACAUAUGAGCCUGGAACACCUACCAUUCGAAGUUGGCCUUUAGAUAUAAACCAUAUUGUUCUCUGGGAACAUACAUUCCAUGACCUUACUCCUGGCUCCUGUCUAACGGAAAGCUUUCGGUGUCGACCUGAAGGCUGUCAAGAAAGUCUAGACUCUGUGGUAAAUCUGGUUCUUCCUUUCCUGUGGCAGUCCUCAUGAGGACCCCUUUACAUCAUAGCACUUGAUGUUUUUUGCAACUGCACUUGAAGAACCUUUCAACAUUCUUGACGUUUUCCAAAUGGACUAACAUUCACGCCCAAACUAAUGAUGGACUGUUGUUUUGUCUUUGCUUAUUUGAGCUGUUCUUGCCAUAUUAAGGACUACAGUAUAGACAUAAUUAUGGUAUUCUCGAUGCCAUUCAUAUAACACAACUGAUUGGCUCAAAAGCAUUAAGAAUGGAAGAAAUUCUACAAAUGUACUUUUAGCAAGGUAAACUUGUUGGUUGAAAUGUAUUCCAGGUGACUACCUCAUGAAACUGGUUGAGAGAAUGCAAAGAGUGUGA